GGAAUUGUGCAUUUGUGUAAAUUGAAAAGUAUAGAUUUGUCAUUCAAAUUGCUGGUAAUGGUUAAUAUAUGCUUGAGAACGAGAACGCAACAUUGACAUUGUACUUUAUAUAAACCAGAGGUUUUCAUUGCUUCAUUUCACACCCUUGUCUAUUCAUGCCGCUUAAGCUUUUGAAUCUCACUUGGAUUAAAGUUCACGUUUCUGGUGCACUAGCUUAAAUGAUACAGUUUGUUGUAGAAUUACCCUUUUAAGUUUGAAUGCCAUUUCAACAUAACUGUAUAAUUUGCUAAGUUUUGGAAUAAAAGUCUUUUUUCCCCAAGGAAAGAAUAGGCUUGCAGCAUUGUAGAGAAACACAAAAUACUCAACCACUUGUAGGUAAUAGUCUUUAUAGGUCAAGGUGGAGGUCAGUGGAAAGGGCUGAACGACUGAAUGUUUACAAUAUUGGCUGUGGGAUAAAAAAAGGACUUUUGUAGAGUGUGUUGUUUAUCCCUUAACCUUCAUAAUGGCACAAAGUGGCUGAUCCUAUUUGUGAAAAGUAUCACUGGAUACAGAAUUGGCUGCUAUGCUUCAGUUCUGUAUAAACUACAGGUUCACAAAGAGAUUCUGAAAACUGGUAUUAAUGAAUUAAUGCUUUGUUUGUAGGAAACAGAGAGGAUCAUAAACCUGCCAAAAUAAUGUGAAUGUCAAUAUAUUUGCAUUCAUUCAUAUUUUUUCCCACUGUCUUUAAUAUUUAACAAAGCAUAUGUUUCUGGUAUGACACCCAAUCACUUUGUUUCCUACCCUACAUUUUGGCAGCAUAGAUGAAAUAAUUGCAUUCAAAUGCUAUUAUUUGAAGAUGCAAAGUUUAUAUUAAAAGCAUUUUAGUUGACUGGAUGUUCACUUUAAUAACCAUAAUGUUUCAUGGUUACUUUGUAAGAAACAUGUUUGCUAUGUAAGCAACAUUUACUUGUGCGGAAGAGGAUUAUUUUUAUUACUGUAUUUACUUGAAUCUAAUGCUCACCUUUUUUGGCCAAAUUAUGUUGCAAAAAUUAAGGUGCACAUUAGAUUCGAUGGCGCAUUAGACUUAAGUAAAUACGGUAGAUUUUUACAUUAAUAUAUAUUUUAAAGAUAUUAUUUUAAAAACUGAAUAGGCAAGAACAUGUAUACUCUUGUAAAGAGAAAAUAUUUGAAAUAAAAGCAAGUAGUUUUAGUUUAUACCAGUAUAUAAAUCAGUAGGGGAGGGGAUAGUUGAUAAAUUCUGUAAUUUAAAGUGGAUUGCUGUAAUCUGAGUUCCAUGGGGGUUCAGAUGUACAUAUGGCACUCAGUGCACCAGUUAUUUACUGUAAUGAAACGCUAUUCAGGAUUGCAGAAACUUCGUUGGAUCGAGACUCAUACUUAAAGCAGAUCUUUUGAAAUCAGUGGGGCUUGUCAUUACUAAAGUAAGAACUGUUGGUUUCAGUGAACCCAUUGUGUAUGAACGAGAGCCAGGGAGUUUGUGUGAUAUGCACAAUGCAGAGAAAACAAGCUAUGCUGAAAUCCCGCUAGAAAUAAAUGACACAUUAGAGAUAAAAAAAAUUAAGCACUAACAUAAGCUGUCUGAUUUAACUUUGCUUUUCCCAGGCGCUUAAAAAUUGUUCUGGUCGAAUACUCAGAGUUUAAAAGCAGAUCUUCCCAAUUUUCUGUGUGGUGGGGGAAUUGGAAUUGCUCCACCUUGCCAGCCCCCGAGCAUUGGAGCCAUAUUUGAUCUGUGUGCUCACCAUCCCUCAAAAUAACGAGUGCCAGUUUCAUAGACUGCUUUUAUGCGGGGCUCUCCUUAUGUGGCAACCCUUCUGAAUCAAAAUACUUUUGUACUGUAUAUAUACACACAGACCACAGAAGUAUGUCCUAUUGAUAUAAAUGAAAAUUACUUCCACAUAAUAGCCAAAAUCAAACACAGAUCUAACUUCAUGUAAGUCCACUAAUUGCAGUGGGUUUCAGUGCCCAAACUCUGUUGCAGGAAUUGGUUAAUCUAUUUAGAAUCCAGGUUGUCAUAUUCUGGCUUGAAUUCUGCAUUUGUAUGAUGGAAUAAUGGUAUACAAGUUUUAAAGACAAGAUACCAGUUAAGGUGGAAUCCAAUUAACAUGAAGACUUCUUGGUGCUUAAUUGUAGCUAGUUGCAACCAUAAUCUGAGUAUACCUUUGUAUUCUAGCUGCUAUGGUCAUACUGUACAACUGGAGUUCCUGUUGCCUUAAUAUCCUGGAAGCAUAUGCAUGGCCAUUGAUUGCAACAGAAUUAUGGACUAGAGAGAUACUUUAUUGUUCAAUGUUGUGUGUGUAUUAUAUUAUAUAUUCCUCCCCAUGCUCAAGAUUAGAAGAUCUGUACUGUACUGUAUCGUUUCUUAGAUCAAGAAUCAUGGUAAUAAAUUAGAUAUUUAUCUAGAUCCAUACCUAAAUGCUGAUGUGGUCUUGUCUUCACUUCAGUACUUUCAACUGAAUACACAUCUGAAUGUGCCUCUACAUCUGGUGUAAUCAGUCAUAAGCAACCAUGCAAACAUCUACAACUGAAGUGGGGUGAACAUCUUUCCCAGAACACCUGAUAGUUAGUAAUUGCUGAUCCUUGCAUUAUUGCAUCCGUUUCCAGCAAGGCAAACUUUUCAGGAUCAAGGCAACAGUUAACAAUUCAUUGCAAGUAGUGUUUGCAGUAACUUUUAACAAAUCCAGUGUGGCAAUCUAUGAAAAGAAAUUGAAAUGACUAAGAUGCUUCUCUAAUUUGUAUUCUGUAUUUGGUAGCCUUAAAAAAGUAUUAUUAUUUUUUACUUCUGGGAAAGGCAGCUAGAAUUUAUUUUGUCAUAGCUAAAGCUUUCCUGUUUAACGUUGAUUGUCCUGACAGACUAAAUAAGAGACAAUAAAGUAACAGUUCUGGUUUUUCUCUUUUUUGCCAUACAAUGCUGUUGGCGCUUCUAACUUAAUUGUAGUUAUGAGGAACGCUAAUAAUUUAAGUGUUAUACAGUAUGAAACAAAUAAUCGAUAGAUAAACUUUAUCUGAUGAAGCAUUGAAGCAUUCUGUGCACUUUAUUUGUUACAAUCUGUUUAAGAGAAAAAAUAGCUUCCCCAUACUAGGUUCCAUUAAACGCAGUUGGACUUAUUUCCAUGUAAAUAUACAUACGAAUGUGCUGCACAUGUCUUUAUUUUUUUAGGUAAUGUUAUAAUUUAAAUACCUGCUGUGAAAUCACUUUUGGAUUUUUUUCUUUCUUUCCUGAUGUUAAGGGAAAGUAGGCUCAUCUUUUUUUCUUUUCUUUUCUUUUUCCUUUUUUUUUUGCAGAUUUUUAUUGUUCUGUGUAAAUGUAAUUUGUUAAUCCUGUGAAAUUUGUCAUAGAUAAAUUUGCUUGGAUUAUCUUGUCAGUACCGUAUCUGCAUUCUUUUGUUCAUUGCUUAUUCAUAAUUUAACAGUCUGGCAGUGAGCCUUUUUGGGAUGCUCACAAAAGAUAUAUGACCUCUUCCAGCUGCUACUCUAACCUGCAGAAUGCACAGCAAGACAUUAGGAACGUGAGGAUUCCUCUACUGAUUAAAGUGCUCUUCAUUUAAACAGUCUGUUCAUAAGAAUCUCAGGAAUUUCUGUGAAUAGCUCUUUCUUACUUUCCUUUUUCCCAUCCCCUUACAAUUAGUUUUAACCUCCCAUCCCCUGAGUUAAAGAAAAAAAUAAUAAUUUCUAUACUAAUUUGGUAGUAGCCCUUUUUUCCCCUCCAAUGGGAGUUAGUGGAAUUAUAAAAAUUAAAACUAUUGACAAUGUAGUUUCUUAUAAAGUUAAGUCUAUUAACAGAACUCCCUUUGUUAUGAUUUUAAGCCUACAAAGACUUCCUUUGACAUCUAAUGUUGUGUUGUUGUUUUAUGCUGGUUUACAUAGAAGCUGCCUGAUUUAACCCUACUGUCACCCAGGCACUUGCGGAUUAUAAUGUGUGAAUGCCUCGUAGUGUACAAUACACAAAAAACAUAAAUAGAAUGUUGCUUAAGGUGUAACAAUACUCCAGUACUAGCUUACUUUACAUUUUUUCACAUUUUAACCCCCCCCCCCCCUUUAUCUGUAGAUCAUCUUCUGAGUAAUGGCUAGUUUUUACCUCCCCUUUGUGCUUGUCCAUGAUUCUAGUUCAAAAUAAUUCAUUGCUAAUCCAUGCAGUAUUGGUUCAUCUUCAUCACUUUUUUGUGAUUCAGGGCCUUCGAAGAGCAUCAUUCUACUAUGCCAUUUUCAGCUCUAGCUUCUUUCACAUUAAUCCUUAUAUUAAACAAAGCGUCCUAGCUAUUUUACAAAACGUGAUAUUUUACAAAAUUUUUAAAAUUAUAUUUCCUAGUCAUUUUUAUUUUUGCAUGAGCAACAUUCCCUGGAUUAGAAUUUGAGUAUGUAAAAGCCGUUGCUUUUCAGUCCAUGUGGUGCAAUCCUAAGAUUGUUUACGCAGAAGUAAAUCUCACUGAACUCAGUAUAUUUACUGAGUAAUUCUGCUUAGGAUUGCAGUCUUGGGUGGCUGCCUUGUACUCAAUUCCAGCCUAUUUGCCUGUGUACCUCAAUCUACUUGGAUGCGCAGGGGCUCUUCAGUUUCUCAGGCAAAGAGAUCUUCCACGUCUGCUAUGGAUCAUUCUAACAUGGGACCUUCUGUAUACAAGUUCUGUGUUUACUAGUGAGGUAUGGAUAUGUUCUUCACACCCUUCAGUAUAAAAUUACACAUUAAUCUUAACUUUUCUUGCAAGUCACCUCAAACCCUUAAUGGAGGGACGAGGUAUAAUUGGCCCCAAUUAGAAAGGGGUCUGUGAACAAGCAAGAAAGCAGCAGCAGCAGGAGGGAGGUUGGGAUUCCUCCCUUUAAGCAGGUGGGUUUGGGGUGGGUGGUUUUGCAGAGCACGUAGUCACUGACGACUUGUUGCUGCACUUGCCCCCCCCACCCCCCAUUUCCAACUGGGGAAGAGCAAUGUUGCGGUAGCCAGGUAGUCAGCUUUGAAGCUCAGUGGGUGACCUUGGGUCAGUCACUAUCUCUUAGCCUAACCACCUCAAAGGGCUGUUGUGAAGAUAAAAGUGAUGUAACUAUGUACAGUGUCUUGAGGGAAGGUGGAAUAUAAGAGCAAUGAAAGCAUACGGUCCAUGUCACCCUUUCACUUCCUGCUGUAGAGCUUUCUAGUAAAUGGAAAAGGAAAGGGAAAGGGUGUGUUUUAACAUACAGGCUGGGUUGAAUGGCCCCCACCCAGAGAAAGUCAGUUGCACAUAAGCUUAAUUUAAAUGGAAGUCAUUCUGUGGAUUAGGACCAUGUGUUUGGAUCAAGACGUUAUGUUGGAAUAGGAAAGAUUUGUAUUAAGUAACUGCUCUGCACAGGCGUUCCCAUCUUCCUGCAGUCCACUUGGUACCUUGUUGGUGGAGGAGUUAGAUUGCUGAGUGAUGGUGAUAAUAAAGUAUUCUUUCAUUCAAUGUAAGUACUGCUAGACUGAGAAAGAGAUCCAUCUUUAGAUUUCAUUUCUGAUAUUGCCAGUUUCUUAGACUGUCAUCAGAGAAGAUUUUUGAAGGCCUUGUUUUAGCAUUGAAUAGUUCUGUGUUCCUUUUUUAAAUAAUUACUUUCAUCUCAUUGUAGCAAUGUGUUUGAAGGUACAGGUCAAUAAGGAUGAUCGCAUUCUGAAUUUCAUGAUCUGUGUAGUGGAACAAAUUGAAAGCAAAGCCUGUAUCAAUCACUGUGAAGGGAGGGUUAAUUGUUACUGCUUCUCAAGCCUCUGGACAGAUAAACCAGUAAUGAAAUACUUAUUGCUCUGAUAUGAGGAUGCUAAAGGAGGAAACAAUUGGAAACAAGCAGUCUUCAAAGAUAACAAAAAGGCAUUUUUUAAAAGUAGAACUAAAGUGGGAUUGUGCAUAUUGUCAGUGUUAACUUUCAAAAGUAAUAUUAUUUUGAGUACUGCAGCUUCUAAUAAUUUUAGAAAUGGUUGUAUGUCUAAGAGAAAACAAACAUCUAGCCUUAAGAAAUCAUGAGUUUGAAAGAUCUUAUGCAAAUAAUUAGAAAUAUUUUACGUAGUCUGAAGUUUAUAUAACUGCUGUGCAUUAAGCAUUUCCAUUUGUUUUUAUUUUUUAUUUGUGGUAUGUUCCAUAUUUCUAGAAUCUUUAUAUAUAUAGAUUUUAACACAGCUGUAUUUACUAAAUCCAGUAUGUUUUGUCAUCGUAUGAAAGCUUUUUGUCUACUGUUGAUGAGCACAGUAAAGGAAUGUUUUAAAGGCAGAAAAAGUGAGGUGAAGAUGAGUUCAGCAAAAUAAAUUAUAGCAUUAUAGUAAAUAUUUAACCAUUUCCAGGGUGCCUACUUGAUAUUUAAACAUCUGUUAGUUACUUAUAUGUUGAAAUAUAUGCAAAAAUAUUUAGCCAAAUUGAAGUCUUAGGCCCAUGACAAUCAUCUCAACACAGUGGGUAGUUCUGAAAAUUAAUGAGAAUGAUAAUACUGUAAAGACUGUUCCAGAGUUUGCCCAAAUUCAUUAUCAAAGACUCUUGUUAAGAACAUCUCAAAGAAUUUUAACCAGGAAAAUAUAUUAAUGGUUCAAAACCAUUUCUCAAAACGCUGAUUUAGAAAAGUAUAAUGGGAUUAUAUAUGCAAGAGCUAUAGUUAGCAACACAAAUAACACAGGAGAAGGGCAUUAUAUGAGGACACAUUAUCCCAACAGAUAGUUUUUGACUUUGAUUUUCAGCUAUAGAUGUCAAGCUUCUCUUGUUGAUUUAUAUUUUGGAGGCUGUGGGUAGUAUGACCAUAGAUAAUUUACAGUGAUUUUUUUUUUUAAGUAGCUGGAGUCACUCAGGGCCCCAUCUUCACAGGCCAGGUGGGAAAAAACCUGCAGGACAGGGAGCAGGUGUUCCUGGAAUCACAGCCAAGAGCUGAGGCACCCAAGCUCUCACCCAUUCCAAAUCCUGCUGAAUAGUGUGGCUCAAGGACAAUUCAAUCUGCUGAACCAAAUCAUUCUCCUUAAGGUGUAAAAGCAAGAUGUUGGACACUAGUGUGGAAAGCAACUAGCAAAGGGUAGACAACAACUCACAUCAUGCCACUUUUGCCCACCCAGUGAAGAGAUGCCCAUCUACUCAUUUGCAGCUAUGGUCCCACACUGGAGCAACUUGCCCUCCAUUGUGCCCAGAAUAGGGUAGAAUGACCACAGAUGUGUAUCCAAAUCGAGCGAGGCAAACCUGCCAAGAAGGAAAAAGCAAUAAACAUCAGAUAGGUAACAAACAGCAAUACCUCUCCACUGAACUAAUUCAAAGGCAGUAGUAGUUUUUAAAGGCAGCAGAGCACCAUCUGCCUAUUGGUGUAAUACUUGCAUCAUCCACACUCACAAGGGCCACUUGCUUUUUCCCUUCUCAAAUGCUUCUUCAACCAGGGAUACUUGUGUUAAAGCAAUCUUCAUAUGUAUCACUUCUGUUGGAUGAAUAACUUGGGUGUAAACUUGAUCUGCAUCCAAAUGCACCAGGAAGCGUGGAAGCCUACAGCAUUAUUUUUAAUAGGCUAUAUAUUUCAGAUGUGUGGUACACUGAAAUAAAUGGUUGUAGGCAGCAUUUGCACUUGAUUACAUGUUUACAUAUACAUUAAACUUUCUAAAACCUCCUGUUCCUGUGAUUAUUACAUACACAUAUAUUUAUUUUGGAUCGAUGGAACUGCUGGAAGGAGUCCUCUAAACAGAAAGCGGCUGAGUGGUCCCCCUGUCGUUGGGUAGAGGUCCAGGUAUGCCCAAAUUCAUUUCAUUUUCCACCCUGGGCCCAUUUUGGCAUAUGGGACACCUUUACUCAUAUAGAGCAUCCGGGGUGUGGGGGGGUGUGGAGAGAACCCUCAGGCUACCACAAUCUUCAGUUGACUAGGAAGUCCAUUUCAGCCAAGCCACAUCUACUUACACCUGACACCCUAUAUGAUGUCAGGUGGGACAGGUUGAGACUGAAAGUAAGACUCAUACUCCUGUCUCAUUCUUUAUAUCACACACACACACACACACACAAAAUCUCUACAAAGAAAGGUAAAAUAAUUAACAUUAUAAAUAAGUGAGAGUGAUAGAGAGCUGUGUGUCAUAUAUGGAAUGAGAUCAGAGUACCUGGCUUGGUUUCAGCUGCACACUUUUUACACAGAACCUGUGUCUUAUUGUACCAAAGUUAUGAGCAAAUUCAUGUUAACUAAAUUAGUUCAGUACAGCAGUUGAUGUAAUCCAUACCACAUGAAAAUGUAAUGAGUACUUUGACAUUUUUUGUUAAUUUAUCCCUUGUGGGGGAAGGAGAGUCUGGCACCUCCUAUAAUAUGCCUGGUUUGGAGAUGAAUGCAAUGCCUUUGUGUACUAUUGUGAAGUCCCUGUAGUAAUUUUCACGAGUGCUAGAAGUUAGUGAUCACUGUACAUGUUUCUGAACCAGAGCCUAACCUUCAGAUUGGACACUUUUGCUGUGUAGAAUAUUACUAAUACAUACUCCAGCCACAGGCCAGCUAACAUGGAGUCAAGUGGAGCAUGAUCCAGAGAUACUGCUCAGUAAUCAUUUCACUGACACUUAUUAGAAAUUCUGAGUGAGUAAGUCAUUAAAACACACAGACACAAUCUAGUCGCUCAUGAGCAAUACAGAUUUUAUGUUGGCACUUUUGUAGAUGAGAUAGUUUUUAAUGAGACUCUGGACAAUAUAUUUGUAGAUUUACUUGCAGGUUAUAGACAUGUUCACAAGGAGUGGAAGUGGACAGAGAAGAUAGGUGGUGAUGAGAUGAUGUGGAGAAGGAGUGACUCAAGGUGAGGAUGGGUGAAUAAGAACUGCAGAGAGGAAGAUGGGAAUCUCAGCUUGACAUUUAUGCUUGAAGAGCUUGCUUUACUUCUUUCCCCCUUCCAUAGACCUAGCGCACAGAGUUUGAUCACCAUAGAAAACCUGAGACCAAACCAUAUG